rnacentral:rRNA from 1 species
GAUGAACGCUGACAGAAUGCUUAACACAUGCAAGUCUACUUGAACUUCGGUUUGGGUGGCGGACGGGUGAGUAACGCGUAAAGAACUUGCCUCACAGAUAGGGACAACAUUUGGAAACGAAUGCUAAUACCUGAUAUUAUGAUUUUAGGGCAUCCUAGAAUUAUGAAAGCUAUAUGCACUGUGAGAGAGCUUUGCGUCCCAUUAGCUAGUUGGAGAGGUAACGGCUCACCAAGGCGAUGAUGGGUAGCCGGCCUGAGAGGGUGAUCGGCCACAAGGGGCCUGAGACACGGCCCUUACUCCUACGGGAGGCAGCAGUGGGGAAUAUUGGACAAUGGACCAAGAGUCUGAUCCAGCAAUUCUGUGUGCACGAUGAAGUUUUUCGGAAUGUAAAGUGCUUUCAGUUGGGAAGAAAAAAAUGACGGUACCAACAGAAGAAGUGACGGCUAAAUACGUG